UACGUAGGGUGCGAGCGUUAAUCGGAAUUACUGGGCGUAAAGUGUGCGCAGGCGGCUAAGCAAGUCGAGUGUGAAAGCCCCGGGCUUAACUUGGGAAUUGCGCUCGAAACUACUUGGCUGGAGUGUGGCAGAGGAAGGUGGAAUUCCACGUGUAGCAGUGAAAUGCGUAGAUAUCGAGAGGAACACCUGCGGCGAAGGCGGGU
rnacentral:rRNA from 1 species